rnacentral:rRNA from 1 species
CGACGCCGCGUGAGGGAUGACGGCCUUCGGGUUGUAAACCUCUUUCAGCAGGGAAGAAGCGAAAGUGACGGUACCUGCAGAAGAAGCGCCGGCUAACUACGUGCCAGCAGCCGCGGUAAUACGUAGGGCGCGAGCGUUGUCCGGAAUUAUUGGGCGUAAAGAGCUCGUAGGCGGCUUGUCGCGUCGGUUGUGAAAGCCCGGGGCUUAACCCCGGGUCUGCAGUCGAUACGGGCAGGCUAGAGUUCGGUAGGGGAGAUCGGAAUUCCUGGUGUAGCGGUGAAAUGCGCAGAUAUCAGGAGGAACACCGGUGGCGAAGGCGGAUCUCUGGGCCGAUACUGACGCUGAGGAGCGAAAGCGUGGGGAGCGAACAGGAUUAGAUACCCUGGUAGUCCACGCCGUAAACGGUGGGCACUAGGUGUGGGCGACAUUCCACGUCUUCCGUGCCGCAGCUAACGCAUUAAGUGCCCCGCCUGGGGAGUACGGCCGCAAGGCUAAAACUCAAAGGAAUUGACGGGGGCCCGCACAAGCGGCGGAGCAUGUCGCUUAGUUUGACGCAACGCGAAGAACCUUACCAAGGCUUGACAUACCCCGGAAACGUCUGGAGACAGGCGCCCCCUUGUCGUCGGUGUACAGGUGGCGCAUGGCGGUCGUCAGUUGGUGUCGUGAGAUGUUGGGUUAAGUCCCGCAACGAGCGCAACCCUCGUCCCUCGUUGCCAGCAAGCCGUUCGUGGUGUUGGGGACUCACGGGAGACCGCCGGGGUCAACUCGGAGGAAGGUGGGGACGACGUCAAGUCAUCAUGCCCCUUAUGUCUUGGGCUGCACACGUGCUACAAUGGCCGGUACAAUGAGUUGC